rnacentral:rRNA from 1 species
UUUGAUCCUGGCUCAGGACGAACGCUGGCGGCGUGCUUAACACAUGCAAGUCGAACGGACUGCCAGGGCUUGCUUUGGUGGUUAGUGGCGAACGGGUGAGUAACACGUGAAGAACUUGCCCUGGACUCUGGAAUAACAGUCGGAAACGAUUGCUAAUACCGGAUACCUUCAAUGUGGUCUCAUGGUCAUUUGAAGAAAGAUUUAUCGGUUUGGGAGAGCUUCGCGGCCUAUCAGCUUGUUGGUGAGGUAAUGGCUCACCAAGGCUUCGACGGGUAGCUGGUCUGAGAGGAUGAUCAGCCACACUGGAACUGAGACACGGUCCAGACUCCUACGGGAGGCAGCAGUGGGGAAUCUUGCUCAAUGGGCGCAAGCCUGAAGCAGCAACGCCGCGUGUGGGAUGAAGGCCUUCGGGUUGUAAACCACUUUCAGUAGGAACGAAAAUGACGGUACCUACAGAAGAAGGUCCGGCUAACUACGUGCCAGCAGCCGCGGUAACACGUAGGGACCAAGCGUUGUCCGGAUUUAUUGGGCGUAAAGAGCUCGUAGGCGGUUCCGUAAGUCGGGUGUGAAAACUCUGGGCUUAACCCAGAGCCUGCAUCUGAUACUGCGGUGACUAGAGUCCGGUAGGGGAGUGGGGAAUUCCUAGUGUAGCGGUGAAAUGCGCAGAUAUUAGGAGGAACACCGGUGGCGAAGGCGCCACUCUGGGCCGGUACUGACGCUGAGGAGCGAAAGCGUGGGUAGCAAACAGGAUUAGAUACCCUGGUAGUCCACGCCGUAAACGGUGGGCACUAGGUGUGGGUUCCAACCAACGGAAUCCGUGCCGUAGCUAACGCAUUAAGUGCCCCGCCUGGGGAGUACGGUCGCAAGACUAAACUCAAAGGAAUUGACGGGGGCCCGCACAGCAGCGGAGCAUGUUGCUUAAUUCGAGG